CUGUCAGAACAUGUAGAAUUCACGUCAAGCCAUCGAAGUGCGAAUUCUUUCGUGACGAGCUGACUUGUCUGGGCUAUGUAAUCAACAAACACGGCAUCCACCCAACGGACGAAAAACUGGCCGCAAUAACCAAGGCACCGGCGCCAACAGAUAAGCACCAACUUCAGUUGCUGCUGGGCCUCAUAAACUAAUAUGGAAAGUUCCUUCCAAACUUAUCUACUGUUCUUUUCCCCUUAAAUAGGCUCUUGCAGAAAGGCGUCGCCUGAAAUUGGAACACGGCUUGCGAUCGCGCCUUUCAGCUCAUCAAGCAGCUGCAUUCGUCAGCUCCUGUCUUGGCGCACUAUGAUCCAGGCCUGCUCCUGCAGUUAUCUUGUGAUGCGUCCGCCGACGGCAUUUCCAGUAGUACCGGCAGCGAGUAGGAACCAGCCACAUGAGAACAGCUCCGUAUCAUCCCAGCAGCAACGGCCUGGUAGAACGUUUCGUCCAGACUCUGAAGGGUGCACUUCAGAAGUCAAGCCGACCCACAUCACCGUCGGAGCUCGCAGACUUCCUCCGACUACUGCAGAGGCACCCCCUCUUGCUGUUGGGGAGGCGCCAGUUUCAGGAGACCAGUCGCCGCAGGCAUCGUGCGACUACGUUCAGCGAAGGAGACAUCGUGCGUGUCCGCAAUUUUCGCCGAGGACCAAGGUGGUUCAGUGCUACCAUUCUCGCACGCACCGGUCCAGUGUCGUAUUGUGUUAGUGUGGUGACCCCUCGGGGUGUGUGUGAGUGGGUGCGUCACCGUAACCACAUCGUACGUGCUCCGGACUCUGACGCCGCGGUGGUCACAGCCACCGACUUCCACGAUGAAGACCAUGUCACAGCUGGCACUAGCGCUAGCUGCCCCACCGUGCCUGUGGAACAGCCGUCGACACCCAGGGAAGCCGCCGAACAGGGUCGCCACCACCCACUACGUCAGCGCGGACCUCCCGAACGCAACGACACCUAAUCCUACUACAGGACAGUAAACAAGUGUGGGGGAGAUGUCGCGCGCCUAGGCGACAAGGCGUCACAGCUAGGCAUGCGCCGUGGUAGCGGCGCAAGCAUUAUCACUCGGUGCUUGUGCUUAAAAGCGCCGGCAUUCAAGCUGGCGCACGCUUUCAUUCCUGUAACACAGAACCGGGCAGUUCGCCCGCCGUCGUUAAGUUGAUGUCUAAAUAAAGCCGUAUUGUUUUCGCUCCA